UGAGGAAUAUUGGACAAUGGGCGCAAGCCUGAUCCAGCAAUACCGCGUGAGUGAAGAAGGCCUUAGGGUUGUAAAGCUCUUUCAGCAGGGAAAAUAAUGAUGGUACCUGCAAAAGAAGUCCCGGCUAACUCCGUGCCAGCAGCCGCGGUAAUACGGAGGGGACUAGCGUUGUUCGGAUUUACUGGGCGUAAAGGGUGCGUAGGCGGCCUGAUAAGUUAGAAGUGAAAGCCUGGGGCUCAACCCCAGAACUGCUUCUAAAACUAUUAGGCUAGAGUAUGGGAGAGGAUAGUGGAAUUCCUAGUGUAGAGGUGAAAUUCUUAGAUAUUAGGAGGAACACCGGUGGCGAAAGCGACUAUCUGGAACAUUACUGACGCUCAGGCACGAAAGCGUGGGGAGCAAACAGGAUUAGAUACCCUGGUAGUCCACGCUGUAAACGAUGAAUGCUAGAUAUCGGAUUUAUUCGGUGUCGUAGAUAACUUGAUAAGCAUUCCGCCUGGGGAGUACGGUCGCAAGAUUA
rnacentral:rRNA from 1 species